rnacentral:lncRNA from 1 species
UUAGAUAUUGCUAAACUGAAAAAACAAGUUUUUGAGGCAUCUCAGGCUCAUCUCACCCUAUUGCCUGGAGCUGAUAUUCUUGCUGGAGCCUCUGAUGGCCUUUCUAAUACCAAUCCUUUAAAGUGGAUUGAAACCAUAGGUGGAUCAACAAUUGCAAAUUUUAUUUUGGUUUGUGUCUGUUUAUGUUGCUUGUUUUUAGUCUACAGAUGCAGAUGGUGCCUUGGGAGAGAAACCAGACACCAUGAAUGAGCCAUAAUAGCAAUGGCAGUUAUUAAUAAAAAAAAAUCAAUAGAGGCAAAAAAGGGGAACAUGUGGGAAAGUGUUUCUGGGGUGCCAGUUGAGUUGGUCUCCCCUGUGUGAGACACCCAUGGGAAGCCAUGGGCAGCCUCUGGGGAGAAAAGUCUCCUUAUUGCUUUCAUGUCUUUAUGCCCCAAGAGCAUAACCACUCAGCAGCAUUCCACAGGUUGCUCAGGGAGACAACACUCCCUUGAAGCAGUGGAGUAUAAUCAAACAUCUUGGCUCCUCCUUAAACCCGCUCCCACCCAUUUCAGUCCUGAUAAGCUAAAGAUCUUAAGUAGUUUAGACACACGCCUUUGCUCAAGGAAAUUCACAGAAACCGCCACUGCUACACAUCUUAUGGAAUGACUCACGAGUUCUCCUUCACUGAUUAAUCCUUUUCCUCAUCCCUUCCUCCCCCUCCCAUCUGCCCUAAGAACAAAGAGCUUGUAAACCAGUAAAUUUGGCAGAGCUCAAGAGCUCUGGGCCGUGAGCAAGCCUCCGAUAUUCUGGUCCCCUGAACCCGCCUUUUAAAUGCUUAUUCUGUCUCUUUCUAACUCCUAUGUCUCCACCAGACUCAGGGUACCCACUGGGUGGUGUGGGGCUGGUUUCCCUAACAUUCCCCACCAAAUAAAGCAGCUCCAACCUUCUAGAUGGUUGCUCAGCUCAGAAGUCUUAGAGAAAUUCUGAUGCCUCUCCUCACAUUUGCUCUGUCGGCAAAUCCUGGUGUCACAAGAGGGCUCAGGAGGGUUUCUGGAUGCCAACGAGACCCCAGCCACAGCCGGUCCCCAGAUUCUUGACAUCAUCACAAGAAAGAAUUCACAGGGUUGCUUCAGCGUCCUCACAACAGGAUGGCUGACUUCCCCAAGAGAGCAGCUCAAGAGAGAGCAAGGAGAAAGACACAACAUCUUUAAUGAUCUAUGCUUGGAAGCUAUAUGUUGCCACUUUUGCAAUAUCCUACAGAUCGCUUAGCUCCAUCCAACAUGGAAAGGGAUCAGACACGGGCAUCAUUGCCAGAUGAUAAUCCCUGAUGGUCAUCUUGGAUGCUGGCCACCACAGUUACAUUUGAGAGAUGGGGUUUAGCCAUGUUGCCCAGGAUCCUGGGCU